GAUGAAGAACGUAGCGAAAUGCGAUAAGUAAUGUGAAUUGCAGAAUUUAGUGAAUCAUCGAAUCUUUGAACGCAUAUUGCGCCCGCCAGCACUCUGGCGGGCAUGCCUGUUCGAGCGUCAUUUCAACCCUCAGGCCUCGCGUCUGGCGUUGGGGCGCUGCGGCCCUCCCGCAGGCCCCCAAAUCUAGCGGCGGAUCCGCCGCGGCCCUGAGCGCAGUAGUUUGACUCGAACGCUCCGGCGGCCGUGGCGCGGUUCUGCCUCCCGCCCCAUAGCGCCGAUGGCGCUACACCCAAAAGUUGACCUCGGAUCAGGUAGGACUACCCGCUGAACUUAAGCAUAUCAAUAAGCGGAGGA
rnacentral:misc_RNA from 1 species